rnacentral:rRNA from 1 species
ACGGGUGAGUAACACGUGAGUAACCUGCCCUUGACUCUGGGAUAAGCCUGGGAAACUGGGUCUAAUACCGGAUAUGACUCCUCAUCGCAUGGUGGGGGGUGGAAAGCUUUUGUGGUUUUGGAUGGACUCGCGGCCUAUCAGCUUGUUGGUGAGGUAAUGGCUCACCAAGGCGACGACGGGUAGCCGGCCUGAGAGGGUGACCGGCCACACUGGGACUGAGACACGGCCCAGACUCCUACGGGAGGCAGCAGUGGGGAAUAUUGCACAAUGGGCGGAAGCCUGAUGCAGCGACGCCGCGUGAGGGAUGACGGCCUUCGGGUUGUAAACCUCUUUCAGUAGGGAAGAAGCGAAAGUGACGGUACCUGCAGAAGAAGCGCCGGCUAACUACGUGCCAGCAGCCGCGGUAAUACGUAGGGCGCAAGCGUUAUCCGGAAUUAUUGGGCGUAAAGAGCUCGUAGGCGGUUUGUCGCGUCUGCCGUGAAAGUCCGGGGCUCAACUCCGGAUCUGCGGUGGGUACGGGCAGACUAGAGUGAUGUAGGGGAGACUGGAAUUCCUGGUGUAGCGGUGAAAUGCGCAGA